CUUUUAAAUGCUGAGGUAGCUGC
rnacentral:piRNA from 2 species